UAAAGUUUGAUUCUAGCUUGCAGAAUUUAUUAACUAAUAGUUGUACAUGUUAAUAUUUGUGUGAUUUAAUUUAUCUAAAUGGUUGUUUUAUCUUAAGUUGCAGUUCUUGAUCUUGAAAUUUAAGUAGAUUUAGAUUCAGUUAAUUAGUUUAAUCCUGACAAAGGUUGUGCCAGCAGUCGCGGUUACACAUCUGGGGUGAAUGAAUUAGUUUUGGUUAUUGAUUUAAUUUGUUUUGUUUUUAAAAAUUACAAUUAGAUUUUGAUUUUAUAGGUGAAAUUGGGAAUUUAUUUAAUUUGUAAUGUUUUGAUUAAAUCAGAAAGUUUUUAUUUAAACUAGGAUUAGAUACCCUAUUAUUUUAAACUGUUAUAUUUAAUACCUUAGAAUUAAUAGUUAUGUUCUUAAAAUUAAAAGAAUUUGGCGGUAAUUUAGUCUUUUUAGAGGAACCUGUCCUGUAAUUGAUGAUCCACGAUGAAUUUUACUUUAUUUAUUGUUUAUAUACCUCUGUCAUGAAUGUUUUAUUAGAAUAUUUUCGUUAAUCUUUAUGGGAAAAAUGUCAGGUCAAGGUGUAGUUAUAAUAAAGAAGAGAUGGGUUACAAUAAUUAUAUUUAUUGGAUUUUAAUUAUGAAAAUGUUAAUGAAAUUGGAUUUAGAAGUAAUUGCUAUUAGAAAGUAGCUUUGAUAUAUUGCUCUGAAUUAUGCACACAUCGCCCGUCACUCUCGUUGAAUUUGUAAGAUGAGAUAAGUCGUAACAAAGUAGGCCUACCGGAAGGUGGGCCUAGAAAGU
rnacentral:rRNA from 1 species